UUGAGGUCGAUAGAGCGAUUGAAAUCAGCUGGCUGAACGUGGGACGCAUCCCGGAACGGCGAGCAAGUGCAGUUCUUGCCGGAAGCAGCUCCUGUGAGGAUCAGGGUGCAGAGCUGGGUCUUCAGCAUCCGACUUUUGUGAUGGGUUUAGGAUUUGAGGACCCCUCCAUCUCUCAGAAGAAAUGUCCACCCCAGAUGAAGGAGAUGUGAACGGUCCCACCCAGAACCCAACUUCAUCUUGACCCCUAUUCUGGGAGGUCUCCUGCUCCCUAUCCCUUCAUUUCUUCUCAUUGGACCCGGAACCGAUUGCCUCCAUACACAGUUGCUUAUACCCAGCAUGCAGCACUGGAGUUGGCACGUAACAGGAGCCUGAUAAGUAUUUGCAGAGAAGUGAAUGAAAUGAAAAGCUACACUUACACAACAAGUACCUCCUGAUGUUUCCUGGUGACAGGCAGCUUCUGUUCUGAGAAUACAAUGGACUUUGUCUCUUA